rnacentral:misc_RNA from 1 species
GUGAAUCAUCGAAUCUUUGAACGCAAAUUGCGCUUCCUGGCAUCCCGGGAAGUAUGCCUGUUUGAGGGUCAGUAUUAAUAAAAAUCGGUUUAGUUACCAAUUGUGACGGUUUCGGAGUUUGGGCUAUUUUAACCUUUUUGGUUAAGAGGCUUAAAAUUGACCUUUUUUGCGCAUUUUUAAACGUACAUAAAUUUUUUUUUUUCCUCUUUUCCUAAUGCCAAAAUCUUAUUAGAUUCCAUCAC